UGGACUUUGGGAGUCUCUGUCAUAAUAAGCUUAAACAUUUAACGUUUUACUUAGCAGAUUUCUGACAAGAGUGACAGCCAGUAUCUAUUAAGUAUAUCUGAAUUAGUCAAUCUGUGUUGUACAAUUACUUGUCUUAGAAUGUAUCUGGUAAACAAAGAGAGUACAUUGAAACUUAACGACUGUAAUAAAAACAAGACUAUACAUAUUUAAGGCAAUGGCCUUUAACCUUUUUACUGAUGUAUAUCUUAAAAUUAACAUUAAAACUGUUAUUUGUCAAGGAAGGAUAGAAAUCGGAGGCUGUUCUAAGUGGGGACUGCCUAUAAAAAAAGAUGGCGGUUAGUCAUGAAACUGCCUUUAACCAAGAUGGCUCUGAAGCUCUAGCCAGUCAUGUGACCGCCCUUAGCCUUUAGCUAAGAUGGCGCAGGUGGAGGAAAGCCAUGUUAUAUCUUAGAAGUGUGGCUGUGCAUCUUAGAAUGGAAUGGCAGAAGCACGGCAGAGGCAAACGGUUACUUGGAGUGCAUGCCUUUAAUUGAAGCACAAGGGAAGCCAAGAGAAUCCUGGAAGGGCAUCAUCCCUGUGUAGCAGGCUGACUUGCUUUGUAGCCUGGGCUCACCCACUUCAGAUCCUCUGGCUUCGUUUAGAGUUCUGACCUUUCGUGUGCUGGGAUUCUAUGUCCCACCAUGCCCAGCCGACUCUUCCUCUACUAAUGGGUCUGAGUGACGCAGAAAUUCAGAAUUAUAACUGCUCUCUGUAGAUUCCACAAACCCAUUUGGCAGGUUGGACUGUGGGACCCGGAAUCCUUCGGGAUUCCUGCCCUAGUGGGGACUGGACAGGAAGCAACCAAACAUUAGUUUAGAUACGGCCGGAAGCCACCUGGCAGGCGUAAUCAAAGCCCCAAAAGUGUAAAUUGCGCAACAGGAAGUCCUGGUCGGGCCUCAUUCUGUAAAGUUCUCUUGGUAAUGGGGGAAGAUCAAAGCAACCUUCUGGUUGUGAGACAGUUAGAGGCAGAGAGGGGAAUGCCAGAAAAUUUGAGACAAACAUAAUCCGUUGGACUUUGACCCCCACCAAGACCCCUAUUGCAAAUCCCUCACAGAGGGGCAGUCCUGAUGUGGUUGAUGUGACCCCUCCAACAUGUAAGUCGUGCCCAGAAUACAUCUAUAAAGGCAAGACAUUCAAUGCAUUGUUUCCUAUAUCCAGUGCCUGUGCUGCCCUGUAGUGGUCACCUUCAAUCUGACAUGCAGCACAGAGCAAGCCCAGCUUCUAGAAGCUGCUGAUGGGUAGAAAGAGGGGGAGAUUAUGGGAGGAAUGGGAAAUGAGCAGAAGAGCCAGGAAGGUUCUGGAGAGCUGAGCCGGAGUCUGCAGGCUGCGAGAAGGUGGUGGGUACGCCCGUAACAUCAGCACUUGGAAGGCUGCGGAAAGCAAGAGGAUCCGAAGUUUUAUUUGAGACUGGGUUGUUUACUAAUAACCUGUGCGCUCGGUUCCCAUACGCCUAAAAAAGUGUGCUUCUAAUAAAGUCACCGAGGAGAACAUAUUUCUUUACCAAA